AGAGUUUGAUCCUGGCUCAGGAUGAACGCUGGCGGCGUGCCUAAUACAUGCAAGUCGAGCGAACGGACGAGAAGCUUGCUUCUCUGAUGUUAGCGGCGGACGGGUGAGUAACACGUGGAUAACCUACCUAUAAGACUGGGAUAACUUCGGGAAACCGGAGCUAAUACCGGAUAAUAUUUUGAACCGCAUGGUUCAAAAGUGAAAGACGGUCUUGCUGUCACUUAUAGAUGGAUCCGCGCUGCAUUAGCUAGUUGGUAAGGUAACGGCUUACCAAGGCAACGAUGCAUAGCCGACCUGAGAGGGUGAUCGGCCACACUGGAACUGAGACACGGUCCAGACUCCUACGGGAGGCAGCAGUAGGGAAUCUUCCGCAAUGGGCGAAAGCCUGACGGAGCAACGCCGCGUGAGUGAUGAAGGUCUUCGGAUCGUAAAACUCUGUUAUUAGGGAAGAACAUAUGUGUAAGUAACUGUGCACAUCUUGACGGUACCUAAUCAGAAAGCCACGGCUAACUACGUGCCAGCAGCCGCGGUAAUACGUAGGUGGCAAGCGUUAUCCGGAAUUAUUGGGCGUAAAGCGCGCGUAGGCGGUUUUUUAAGUCUGAUGUGAAAGCCCACGGCUCAACCGUGGAGGGUCAUUGGAAACUGGAAAACUUGAGUGCAGAAGAGGAAAGUGGAAUUCCAUGUGUAGCGGUGAAAUGCGCAGAGAUAUGGAGGAACACCAGUGGCGAAGGCGACUUUCUGGUCUGUAACUGACGCUGAUGUGCGAAAGCGUGGGGAUCAAACAGGAUUAGAUACCCUGGUAGUCCACGCCGUAAACGAUGAGUGCUAAGUGUUAGGGGGUUUCCGCCCCUUAGUGCUGCAGCUAACGCAUUAAGCACUCCGCCUGGGGAGUACGACCGCAAGGUUGAAACUCAAAGGAAUUGACGGGGACCCGCACAAGCGGUGGAGCAUGUGGUUUAAUUCGAAGCAACGCGAAGAACCUUACCAAAUCUUGACAUCCUUUGACAACUCUAGAGAUAGAGCCUUCCCCUUCGGGGGACAAAGUGACAGGUGGUGCAUGGUUGUCGUCAGCUCGUGUCGUGAGAUGUUGGGUUAAGUCCCGCAACGAGCGCAACCCUUAAGCUUAGUUGCCAUCAUUAAGUUGGGCACUCUAAGUUGACUGCCGGUGACAAACCGGAGGAAGGUGGGGAUGACGUCAAAUCAUCAUGCCCCUUAUGAUUUGGGCUACACACGUGCUACAAUGGACAAUACAAAGGGCAGCGAAACCGCGAGGUCAAGCAAAUCCCAUAAAGUUGUUCUCAGUUCGGAUUGUAGUCUGCAACUCGACUACAUGAAGCUGGAAUCGCUAGUAAUCGUAGAUCAGCAUGCUACGGUGAAUACGUUCCCGGGUCUUGUACACACCGCCCGUCACAC
rnacentral:rRNA from 1 species